rnacentral:rRNA from 1 species
GACGAACGCUGGCGGCGUGCCUAAUACAUGCAAGUAGAACGCUGAAGGAGGAGCUUGCUUCUCUGGAUGAGUUGCGAACGGGUGAGUAACGCGUAGGUAACCUGCCUGGUAGCGGGGGAUAACUAUUGGAAACGAUAGCUAAUACCGCAUAAUAGUAGAUGUUGCAUGACAUUUGCUUAAAAGGUGCAAUUGCAUCACUACCAGAUGGACCUGCGUUGUAUUAGCUAGUUGGUGGGGUAACGGCUCACCAAGGCGACGAUACAUAGCCGACCUGAGAGGGUGAUCGGCCACACUGGGACUGAGACACGGCCCAGACUCCUACGGGAGGCAGCAGUAGGGAAUCUUCGGAAAUGGACGGAAGUCUGACCGAGCAACGCCGCGUGAGUGAAGAAGGUUUUCGGAUCGUAAAGCUCUGUUGUAAGAGAAGAACGAGUGUGAGAGUGGAAAGUUCACACUGUGACGGUAUCUUACCAGAAAGGGACGGCUAACUACGUG